GAUGAACGCUGGCGGCGUGCCUAAUACAUGCAAGUCGAGCGAACGGACGAGAAGCUUGCUUCUCUGAUGUUAGCGGCGGACGGGUGAGUAACACGUGGAUAACCUACCUAUAAGGCUGGGAUAACUUCGGGAAACCGGAGCUAAUACCGGAUAAUAUUUUGAACCGCAUGGUUCAAAAGUGAAAGACGGUCUUGCUGUCACUUAUAGAUGGAUCCGCGCUGCAUUAGCUAGUUGGUAAGGAAACGGCUUACCAAGGCAACGAUGCAUAGCCGACCUGAGAGGGUGAUCGGCCACACUGGAACUGAGACACGGUCCAGACUCCUACGGGAGGCAGCAGUAGGGAAUCUUCCGCAAUGGGCGAAAGCCUGACGGAGCAACGCCGCGUGAGUGAUGAAGGUCUGCGGAUCGUAAAACUCUGUUAUUAGGGAAGAACAUAUGUGUAAGUAACUGUGCACAUCUGGACGGUACCUAAUCAGAAAGCCACGGCUAACUACGU
rnacentral:rRNA from 1 species